rnacentral:snRNA from 1 species
AGACUUACCUGGCAGGGAAGAUGCGAUGAUCGCGAAGGUGGUUUUCCCAGGGCGAGGCUUAUCCAUUGCACUCCGGAUGUGCUGAUCCCUACGAUUUCCCCAAAUGUGGGAAGCUCGACUGCAUAAUUUGUGGUAGUGGGGGACUGCAUUCGCGCUUUCCCCUG